UUUAAUUCGAUGAUACGCGAGGAACCUUACCUGGGCUCAAAUGUAUGUUGACGUAUUCUGAAAGGGAUACUUCUUCGGACAAUAUACAAGGUGCUGCAUGGUUGUCGUCAGCUCGUGCCGUGAGGUGUCGGGUUAAGUCCCAUAACGAGCGCAACCCCUAUCAUUAGUUGCCAUCAGGUCAAGCUGGGGACUCUAAUGAAACUGCCUACGCAAGUAGUGAGGAAGGUGGGGAUGACGUCAAAUCAGCACGGCCCUUACGUCCAGGGCUACACACGUGCUACAAUGGCCGGUACAAAGGGCAGCUACCUGGUGACAGGAUGCUAAUCUCAAAAGCCGGUCUCAGUUCGGAUCGGAGUCUGCAACCCGACUCCGUGAAGCUGGAAUCGCUAGUAAUCGUGGAUCAGCCAAGCCGCGGUGAAUACGUUCCCGGGCCUU
rnacentral:rRNA from 1 species